GCUUGUCUCAAAGAUUAAGCCAUGCAUGUCUUAGUGUAAAUAACUCUUAUGAAACUGCGAAUGGCUCAUUAAAUCAGUUAUCGUUUAUUUGAUGGUCCCUUACUACAUGGAUAACCGUAGUAAUUCUAGAGCUAAUACAUGCACAAAGGCCCGACUCACGAAGGGCUGUAUUUAUUAGAUUCAAACCAACACUUUUUGGUGAUUCAUAAUAACUUGUCGAACCUCAUGCCUUUAUGGUGGAGGUGAUUCAUUCAAAUUUCUGCCCUAUCAACUUUCGAUGGUACGGUAUUGGCCUACCAUGGUUUCAACGGGUAACAGGGAAUUAGGGUUCGAUUCUGGAGAGCGAGCCUGAGAGACGGCUAGCACAUCCAAGGAAGGCAGCAGG
rnacentral:rRNA from 1 species